AGAGCAUGCCAGCUCAUUAUCUAACUCUCUCUUCAGUGACUUCAGGGAAAACAGCAGCAGUUAAGCAAUGUUUGCCAAAAGCAAAUCUGGGGACGGGUGUUGAUUUUAAAAGAGAAGGAAAGAAGAGCUAGUUGCUCACUGCAGGUUCUCCUGGCUCGGCGGUGCGGAGGCAAAGGCCUGUUUCUGCAAAGACUUUGAGGACCCAUGACUCUUCCUCAACCUCCAGACCGCUGGAGGUCCCUGAUAGUUGAAUAAGCUAAGUACAGUGUGCCCGCCUAGUUCUUUCCUGGAAGAUGAAACGCAGCUCCCGAGUCGGGAGACGGAAGAAUGGAUAAACAUUCCUCAAUUGCUGUUGAUAGGUUCUCACCCCAGAACCCGGGCAGUCGGCCUCAUGCUCCAGAGUGCAGGUCCCGUAAGGCGUGAGUAUGGGGGUGUUUUCCACCAUGACACCAUGUGCAUCCCCACACGGCCCCCAAACGUAAUUAACAUGUCCUGUGGCUGUUGGAGAUUCUGGCUUGUUUAGAGAACUGGCUACCUGGCACUCCAGGCUCGACUGCAAAGAAAUGCUCUUUUGUGAUAACACGUCUGGACAUCCAGUGCAAGAAACUGAGCGUUAGCCCCCCUGACCCUCCCACCGCCCAGAAAGACUCCAACUGAAAGGUUGCACAAUGGCUGAUCAAAGUCCACCACAUUUCUUUCCAGGGCUACGAUUUUGUUCUGUCUCCACUCUGGGGAGUUGGAAGGCUGGAGCACGGACCAGCCAUCCCUCCCCCUACCUCCUGGUGAUGUUUGGAAGUCUUAAUUUUGUUUUAUAGGUCACAGGUCAGCCCAUCCAUGCGGAUCCUUGUAAUUGGACAGGACGUGCUUUGUGUGGUCUGAUUACAUCUUUUCUUUCAGACCCAAGGGGAGCCGUCAAUUAGAGCCGUGCUUGAGCCUAAGGCUGACCUGAACCGUUUGAAGGCAGAUCUUCCAUGGAGCGCCCCGGUACUACUUCAUUUCCAGGAAUCUUAAUUACAAGGCAUUACUCUGAUGGAUUGAAUGUAUUAAGUAGCCUCAAUUCACCCCAGUUUGUAGCCCUUUGGGAGGCGGCUCCCGUCCCAUCAUUUUCUGCCCCCCUUUGCUGCCCCAGUGCCAUGGCACCCGGAGGGCUUUGUUCCAAACCAACUUUGAGUCGUGAGUAUUAUCUGAAGCCCCUCCCUUGCCUGGAGGCCUUUCAGAAACUACUUUAUCUCUUGCAGGUCCUUUUCUGGAAAGGUCAAAGGGACGAGAGGGGGUCUCUGCAGUGUCCUGGAUCUGGUUUCAACCUCACCUUCUCCAUGUAUGAGAAAACAAGUCACUUGGAUUCACUGUGCCUCGGUUUCCCCAGAUGGCGAGCAGGACUCAGUCUUUUGGAAACUGAUCUCUUACUAGAACUAAGUCAACAAGAGCUACCCUUGGACUCUAGAUGCCUGGGAGGGUCUGGAGUCGUCAGGCAGAAGGAGAAGGUGGAGCGGGUCUUCCCGGAGGCCGGCUCCCACAGGGGCGGCCAAGGCUCUGGGCCUCUCGGCGUGCCUCUGUGGAUCCUGUUGGAUCCAGAACCGUCUGGAUCACCUGAAGAGUUAUUUGAAACCAGCUGAUUUUCCAAGGGGGCAGUUGACAUGGGUGGGGAUAUCACAGGCAGGCACACUGGCUUCAGAAUUAGAGGCCAAAAGUGUGGACUCUCUCUGUCACUAACUCAGUUCUGCUCUCCAGCAAAACCCUUCGCAGCUCGGGCUAACCUGUCUGUGAGUGGAGGUGGGCAGCUCCUGUCUCAGAGUCCUGGUGGGGGUGAGGUGGAAGGCCCUGGGGGGGCACCCUACAGUGAAUUCUGUAGCUCCCUCCCCUUUAUCUCUCACGUCGUUUACAGUGUAGCUGGGGGUCAGCACGCGGUCCCUACUUGAUAUGCUUUGUUUGGUGAUUUCGAUAUUUAAGCCUCUGUCAAUUCAAUCCAAACUUCGCUACAGAAAGGGCAAGAUGCCAGGAAAUGCUGAUAGUGGCUAAGCAUUGUUCUUCAACUUGAACAGUGGUUCUAAGUUGACUCUGUGGUGUAUUUCUAGUGGCAAUACUAGAUAUUUUCCUUCAUGGCAAAAAUGAGAAUCUUUAUUAAAACAACUACAUAUUAUUAUUUAACAUCCUGAUUCCAAAGUGACAGCAGUAUGGCACGGCUUAUUAAGAAAGUUUAUAUCUAGGUGCUUUGACAGUUUACUAAAUCUUUUUUUAAAAAGUUAUUUAUUUAUUUAUUUUUGAGAGAUGGGAUCUUGCUAUAUUGCCCAGGCUGGUCUCAAACUCCUGGCUCAAGCAAUCCCCCUGCUUUGGCCUCCCAAAAUGCUGGGAUUGGCCGGGUGCAGUGGCUCAAGCCUGUAAUCCCAGCACUUUGGGAGGCCGAGACGGGCAGAUCACGAGGUGAGGAGAUCGAGACCAUCCUGGCUAACCCGGUGAAACCCCGUCUCUGCUACAAAAUACAAAAAACUAGCCAGGCGAGGUGGCGGGCGCCUGUAGUCCCAGCUACUCGGGAGGCUGAGGCAGGAGAAUGGCGUAAACCCAGAGGCGGAGCUUGCAGUGAGCUGAGAUCCGGCCACUGCACCCCAGCCUGGGCGACAGAGCGAGACUCUAUCUCAAAAAAAAAAUGCUGGGAUUACAAAUGUGAGCCAUUACACCCAGUCCAGUUUACUAAUUUUUUAUGAUGAAAGGCUUUAUAGCCCUAGUCUCACCUCACUCUUUAAUGCCUGCUUUCCACCUCCGAAGCUAGAAUGCUCCUGACACAUACGUGUGGGUCUAGGGUGGUGAGUGGGCGUUUUCUCUCUCUCUGAUCUCUGCUAAUAAUGUUGAAGGAUACAGGCCUAGUUUUUCAGCAUCCCUAUUCUGAGCUAGGGAGGAAGGAACGCGAAAGAGAAGCGGGGAGUGGAGAGAGAGAGAAAGAGUGAGAGAGAGAGAGUGGGAGAGGAGGCAGGCAAAACUGUCUAUGGGCCAUUUCCGUGCCUUUGAGAAUGUUAAUCCCUGUGGCUUCCCCCAGAGAGAAUGAGCAAUUUUCCACUCUCAUGAAGAAAAAAAGACAAUUUCCUUGCUCCCAAUAGGAGUUCGCAGGGACCCUGUGCUGCUCUGGAAAUUGCACGAAAUGUCAAUACUAUAGACGGACAUACACAUCAAGCUCUUCUUAGCCUGGCUCCUUAACAACCACUCUGGUGUCCACAGCCUGCCUUAGCGACACACUGCAUUAGCGGUGCAGUCCAAGAUGACAGGUUUUAAAAAGAGCUGUGUCCUCCUGGUGCGGACAAUCUCAUGGUGAGAAUGUGUUAGGCAGGAAGCGAUGUGGGUCUUCAAGCAGAAUUCCCGUGACUCUGAGCUGAGACUUACCACGUGGACCCUGAAUUACUUGGAACCUUGUACUUUUAGUGUUGGAGGGUGCAAUGGGGUGGGGGCCAUCUCUUCUAGCAAGAUUUUAAGUUCAUGAGAGGCAUGUCCUGCCCCGUGCCUCAUUGCCAGCAUCCUGUUUAACCCUCCAGAACCUGAAACUUACCAUACCUGUGUGGGGAGGACCUGCCAGAGGGCGUGGCUUUGACACUUGUUUAUGGGGCAGGCAGGUGUGUUGCAACCCUGUUUGCAAAAAUGGGGCUGAUUUUAUUCUUACUGUGAAGGCCUUUAGCUGUUUUCUUCCAGAGAAGUACUACCUUUCCUGUUCUGUCUCUUUUCUGAACGUUUCUUUGAAAUAUACUACAUAGGCAGAACAGUGCAUAGGAGUGUACAGCCUGAUGCCUUUUCAUUGACAGAACACAGCUGUGUAACUGGCAUCCAGACCAAGAGACAGAACAUCCCAUAACCUCUGAAACUGCCCCACUCCCCUCUUACAGCUCCUGCUCCCCGCCAGGGUAAAUCACUAGCCCGCCCUCCAAUGACACAGAGCAGUUUUGCCUGUUCUUGUACUUUACAUAAACGGAGCUACACAGUAUGUGCCUUCUUAGCGCCUGUUUCUUUUGUUGCAACAUUUAGUCACUUAGUCAGAUUUAGCCACAGUCUUGCCUGUGGUUUUAAAUCCUUCAUUCUGGCUGUUAUAGGGUAAUCCACUGCAUGAAUGUACUACGGUUUAUCUGCUCUACUGAUGAGGGGCACGUAGUUAGCUUCCAGUUUGGGGCUAUUACAAACAGUGCCACUGGGAACAUUGUAGUUGACACUUUUUGUUGCUCUUCUGUGAGCGUGUCUACUGGAGGGCAUACCUGGGAGUGACAUGCUAAGGCCAAGGCCUCGUUAAUCUUUAACAGACAGAUCCAACCAAGGCCGUGCCAGUUUGCAGCGGCCAGGAGGGAGAGUCCUGCUUGGGUACAUCUUGGCCAUACAUUUUGGUCCACACUUGGUAUUUUUCUUGUGCACAUUUUUGUUGUUGGCCUUUUCUUUUUCCUCCCCUCUCCUCCAGAAAUACAGCCAUUUGGAUUGACAAAGAUGCAACAGCAAUUCAAUGGGGAAACAGUAAAUAGUCGGUUCAACCAGUGAUGCUGGAACAACUGGACAUCCAUAUGUAAAAAAAUGAACCUGGGCUGGGUGCGGUGGCUCACGCCUGUAAUCCCAGCACUAUGGGAGACUGACACGGGCAGAUCACAAGGUCAAGAGAUCAAGACCAUCCUGGCCAACAUGGUGAAACCCCAUCUCUACUAAAAAUACAAAAUUUAGCUGGGUGUGGUGGUGCACGCCUGUAGUCCCAACUACUGGGAGGCUGAAGCAGAAGAAUCACUUGAACCCGGGAGUGGGAGGUAGCAGUGAGCCAAGAUCUCGCCACUAUACUCCAGCCUGGUGACAAAAUGAGACUGCGUCUCAAAAAAAAAAAAAAAAAAAAAAAAAAAGAACCUGAACUUGAACUCCUCAUAUACUAAGAGUGCGUGUAUGAGUUCUUUGCAAACACCUACGGAAUAUUUACAAAAAUCCUGUUAGGAAUAAAAUCUCAGCAAAGUCCCCAAGGUAGAAUUCACUAGGCUAAUUUUUCUGACUUCAAUGGAAGACAAGUAGAAAUGAGUAUCCAAAGAACGGCUCUAAGAGGCAGGGGGUUUUUGUUGUUGUUAUUUGUGGCUGUAGCCCCAAAGCCUAGAAUAGUGCCUGGCAUCAAUUUUUGAAUUAGUGAAAAACGUAAUGAGGCAUACUGAUUAGAAAGCAUCCCAUAAAAAUUAGCAGAGGAGCUAAAGUAAUGAUAUGUAUUGUUCGUUGAAUGUCUAGAGGUGCCUUUUCGAGGCUCUAACAUCCUCAUGGAGAAUCCAAGCCCGUUCCUUCUGCAAUGUAUUCUCAUUGCCUUGGCCUCACGGUCCCGAGAUGACGAUGAUGGCUGUAAUAGUAUUAGUAACUAUUAUUAUUGUUAUAAUGAUAAUGAAACUUCGUAUAACUUGCUUUGUGCCAAUUGUUGUUCUAAGCCCCUGAUGUAUUGUCGUACAGUCCAUGCUCACAUCUGUCCAUGAGGUAUGUGUUAUUUUUCCUCAUUUACAGAUGGGAAAAUAGAGGCAUAGAGUGAUUCAGUAACUUGUCCAAAGUCAUACAGCUAAUAGUUAGUAUAGCCAGGAGCUAAGCUCAGGCAUAGCCCAUAGUCUGUGCUUACUUUCUAAGUUUUAUUGUAACUCCAGGUGUUGUAUUUUCACAGCCAAAGUAGGAAGAAAGAGGCCACACGAGGCCACGAAGCCACACCAAUCUCAAGGGAGGCCAUGAAAUCGAGUAUCUGACAAAAAAGAGCAGGAGUUCCACCUUAGAUGAAGCAGGAGCCGAGCCUGAGAGCAGGACGCACUGCCGUGGGGAACAGAGGGCCUGGUCCCUACAGCAGGAAGGAGUCAGGGAUCACAGAUGGCAUUGACAAACGAUAUCUCUGCCUUAUUAAAAAACUAUCUACCUGCAAAUUUAAAAAAAAAUUCUAGAUAACUUGGGUUAAAAAGAAAAUGAAAAGCUAUUUAGAAAUAAUUGGGAAUAGAUUAACUAAAAUUCAGAAGAGGAGAAAAGAUCUAAAGAAGGGGAAAAAUCUAAAGAGAAGGAUAACCUAUAGAAAAAAAUGGAAGGAGUAAUCAGAGAGGACUACAGGCCCACACUGCUGUGCAGGCAUAUUCUGCAUUUCUAAGGAAUAAUGACAUUCAUAUUAACAUUAUACUUACAAGAACUAUUCCACAGAAUAUAAAAAGAUGAUCUCCAACUCAUUCAAUAAAGCUAGUAUUACCCUGACACCAAAUCCAGACAUAACUAGUGCAGAAAAUAUAUAGGCCACCCCGCUUGUGCAAAUGACUCAAAAAAAUUCCAACUAAAACAUAAACAAAUACAAGAAUGCGAUGUACUAGAAGAUCACAUUUUUCCUAAGAAUGAAAAGAUGGUUCGAGGUUAGGGGACCUAUCAGUGUAAUUUCUGGCAAUAACAGUUAAAAG
rnacentral:lncRNA from 10 species